rnacentral:rRNA from 1 species
UACGGGGGGGGCAAGCGUUGUUCGGAAUUACUGGGCGUAAAGGGUUUGUAGGUGGCCAACUAAGUCAGACGUGAAAUCCCUCAGCUUAACUGGGGAACUGCGUCUGAGACUGGAUGGCUUGAGUGCAGGAGAGGAACGCGGAAUUCCAGGUGUAGCGGUGAAAUGCGUAGAUAUCUGGAGGAACACCGGUGGCGAAGGCGGCGUUCUGGACUGCAACUGACACUGAGAAACGAAAGCCAGGGUAGCAAACGGG